rnacentral:lncRNA from 1 species
ACUCUCGUGCUGUUGGAGUGAAGAAGACGCUGGUCUUUUAUAAAGGGCGAGCGCCAGUAGGUGAACGGACAGAUUGGGUGAUGCAUGAAUACACCAUGGAUGAAGAAGAGCUGAAGAGAUGCCAAAAUGCACAGGACUACUAUGCACUCUACAAGGUCUUCAAGAAGAGUGGGCCUGGCCCCAAGAAUGGUGAGCAAUAUGGUGCACCUUUUAGAGAAGAGGACUGGGUUGAUGAUGAGUGCCUAAAUGCCAAAGUCUCUGUUCAGCCGGAGAUCCCGAGACAUCAGGAGAGUUCUGCAAAGAACAUUAAUGUAGUUCCUGCUCCUGAUGACGCAAUUGAGGAAUUGCUGAAGCGUCCUUUUACUGUUGAUAACAAUUUUGCAUUGGAGCAGUUUGUUCAAGAGGAAGAUACUGAAAGUACCUUGCUAAAUCAGUCUUCGAGGGAAGUUGAUUUAUACAAUCAUUGUGCUGUCGCUGGGCCAAGCUGCCAGCAGUAUGAUGCGAGGGCAAGCUUUGACCUGACAGAGUCAGGCACAUCACCAUUACAUUUGUACGAGGCACCAGAGGUCUCAUCUGCUCCAGUGAAUCCUGUAAAUCCCCCAUAUGUGGUGGAAGAGGAUUUCUUGGAAGAUUUUUUGGAGAUGGAUGACCUCCUUGUUGCCAUCCAGGAUUUAGAGUCCGUGGGUGCCAAAUGGGAUUCGAACCCGCAACCUCAACCUUCUAAAGUUGCCCUCCUACCGUGGCACCACAAGCCUAAUUUGUUCUGUGGGUGACACGCUUUAUAUUUAUAUAAAUAUUAUAUAUAUAUAUACCUAUGUAUACAUAGAGUUUCCGUCGAAGUUCGGGGGGGCGUGGCACCCCCACAACCCUUCAUAGAUCCGCCACUGCAUGUAUAGCUUUUGCAUUCUAAAUUCCUCCUGUUUCUGUUUGUUUGAUAACCUUUUGCUCUAUUGACCUGCUUCCUGACUUGAGAUGUCAAAUUAUAUGUUAUUCUCUUCUAGUGUCUGAUGUUAAUUGGUGCUGAUUGAUAGUCAUACUUUGGGUUGAUAGACUUAUGACCAUGUUUGAAUUUUUUCUAUUCUUAACUGACUGUUUCUUUUACGAAUUGGAAUUGCAGAUUUAUCUAAUUCUUUUGCGAAUUUGAAUUGCAGAUUUGUCUAAGUUAAAAACUGGGGAUAGGCAGUGGUUCUUCUUUAGUCCCAGAGAUCGAAAAUAUCCCAAUGGAGCACGGUCAAACAGAGCAUCAAAGCACGGGUAUUGGAAAGCUACUGGAAAAGAUCGUAUUAUUACAUGCAACUCUCGUGCUGUUGGAGUGAAGAAGACGCUGGUCUUUUAUAAAGGGCGAGCGCCAGUAGGUGAACGGACAGAUUGGGUGAUGCAUGAAUACACCAUGGAUGAAGAAGAGCUGAAGAGAUGCCAAAAUGCACAGGACUACUAUGCACUCUACAAGGUCUUCAAGAAGAGUGGGCCUGGCCCCAAGAAUGGUGAGCAAUAUGGUGCACCUUUUAGAGAAGAGGACUGGGUUGAUGAUGAGUGCCUAAAUGCCAAAGUCUCUGUUCAGCCGGAGAUCCCGAGACAUCAGGAGAGUUCUGCAAAGAACAUUAAUGUAGUUCCUGCUCCUGAUGACGCAAUUGAGGAAUUGCUGAAGCG